AUUGAACGCUGGCGGCAUGCCUUACACAUGCAAGUCGAACGGCAGCACGGGAGCAAUCCUGGUGGCGAGUGGCGAACGGGUGAGUAAUACAUCGGAACGUGCCCAAUCGUGGGGGAUAACGCAGCGAAAGCUGUGCUAAUACCGCAUACGAUCUACGGAUGAAAGCAGGGGAUCGCAAGACCUUGCGCGAAUGGAGCGGCCGAUGGCAGAUUAGGUAGUUGGUGAGGUAAAGGCUCACCAAGCCGUCGACCUGUAGCUGGUCUGAGAGGACGACCAGCCACACUGGGACUGAGACACGGCCCAGACUCCUACGGGAGGCAGCAGUGGGGAAUUUUGGACAAUGGGCGAAAGCCUGAUCCAGCCAUGCCGCGUGCAGGAUGAAGGCCUUCGGGUUGUAAACUGCUUUUGUACGGAACGAAACGGCCUUUUCUAAUAAAGAGGGCUAAUGACGGUACCGUAAGAAUAAGCACCGGCUAACUACGUGCCAGCAGCCGCGGUAAUACGUAGGGUGCAAGCGUUAAUCGGAAUUACUGGGCGUAAAGCGUGCGCAGGCGGUUAUGUAAGACAGUUGUGAAAUCCCCGGGCUCAACCUGGGAACUGCAUCUGUGACUGCAUAGCUAGAGUACGGUAGAGGGGGAUGGAAUUCCGCGUGUAGCAGUGAAAUGCGUAGAUAUGCGGAGGAACACCGAUGGCGAAGGCAAUCCCCUGGACCUGUACUGACGCUCAUGCACGAAAGCGUGGGGAGCAAACAGG
rnacentral:rRNA from 1 species